rnacentral:lncRNA from 1 species
UUAUUUAUUGAGUGCUCGUGUUUGUCAUGGCUGAAGAUGACAUCUUAUUAAAGAGUCAUGACACUGGGUGAUUUUUUUAAGCCUAGGGGCCAAGAAGGCUAAUGAACAGGGAUAGCUCCAGGAAUAGAUGGAGGGAAGUGCUGUUUUCAGGUCACAGGCAAAGCUGACUAAUGUUUCACUGACCUGAUUUCUGGGUGAUUUCCAGGCACAUCUUGCUCCUGCUGAUUAGGGAUGGAUACUUCUUGCCAUGGCCUGACAGUGCUGGCUCAGGGGGAAGCUGUUCUCUCAAGAGAACCCAUGGCAAGGGAGCAAAGCCUGAGAUGUGUCAUGAGAAAGCUCCCACCCACAGACAGCCAAACAGCAGCACUCCUGCAAACAAGGGCAUGUGGCAGGUAAUGGCUUUUGGACAGGUUCCCCCAAAUCUCACCUUGCAGGAAGUUUGGAGGAGAGCUCUCAGACACCACAGGCAAUAGCUGGGGGAGUGUGGGAAUCGAGACCCCGCUCGUCACUGUGGCACCUUCACUCCUGUGUGAUACUUGUCAGGACAGCCAGACCGACAGCAGGGCUGCCCUGGCACCAGCUCUGCAAGGCUCACCCUCCUUGGGCUGAAACAAGAGCUGCCUCCAUGCACUGGCUCCUUAUCGCUGACCCGCUCUCUGCGAGAAGCAUCCAGCAGCUUGGAGGAAUUCACCCACACCGUUAGCCCCUCAAUACCCUCCCAAACUGCUUUGCCUGCUGCUCUCCAAGAGACAGGACCUGGGUCUGGCUCAGCAAGGAUUCUAUCCAGACUUUCUUCCAAAGAGGAGAUCAGGAUGGUGCUGGGGAUGAGGCAGAGCUAUGAUCUGCUCCUGGAGGAUGAUGCUUUGCUGCUCUGUGCCUCAGUUUCCCUGCUCAGCCUUGUGAUUCCUGACCAUUUUUGUGAUGGGCCGGGAGUGUUAAUUAUAGACAUGCGAUUUAACAGCCUGACCUUUUGUUACUGCAGCUUGUCCUUCAAUACUCAUUUCAGCCUGAAGAUGUGGGAGUUGUUUCCAGAUGCCUUAACCUGGCUGGAGCAAUAACCAGAAAAAUAAAUCCCUUCAUUUCUCACUGAGCUGAAUUAUCUGGGUAAUUAGUGAGUGUGACAGCAAUGCUCACACAGCUCCAGCGUGAGAGUUUGGGAUCGUGGCUGGGGGGAUGUUGAUGC